CCCUUCUAGCUUAUUUUUUAAAGCAUUAGUUUGAAGAGCUGAAGAUACUUUUUAGUGGUGGGA
rnacentral:tRNA from 1 species